rnacentral:rRNA from 1 species
AUUGAACGCUGGCGGCAGGCCUAACACAUGCAAGUCGAGCGGAUGACGGGAGCUUGCUCCUUGAUUCAGCGGCGGACGGGUGAGUAAUGCCUAGGAAUCUGCCUGGUAGUGGGGGACAACGUUUCGAAAGGGACGCUAAUACCGCAUACGUCCUACGGGAGAAAGCAGGGGACCUUCGGGCCUUGCGCUAUCAGAUGAGCCUAGGUCGGAUUAGCUAGUUGGUGGGGUAAUGGCUCACCAAGGCGACGAUCCGUAACUGGUCUGAGAGGAUGAUCAGUCACACUGGAACUGAGACACGGUCCAGACUCCUACGGGAGGCAGCAGUGGGGAAUAUUGGACAAUGGGCGAGAGCCUGAUCCAGCCAUGCCGCGUGUGUGAAGAAGGUCUUCGGAUUGUAAAGCACUUUAAGUUGGGAGGAAGGGCAGUAAGUUAAUACCUUGCUGUUUUGACGUUACCGACAGAAUAAGCACCGGCUAACUCUGUGCCAGCCGCCGCGGUAA